ACAGUUUGUUAGACGAUCGCUUGCGAGGUAUAGCCGCGUAAGAGGAAAGUCCGGGCAGCGUAGAACAGGACAGUCGCUAACGGCGACCGGGGGUGACCCUAGGGAAAGUGCCACAGAAACUAUACCGCCUCUUCGGAGGUAAGGGCGAAACGAGUGAGGUAAGAGCUCACAGCGACGUGCGGUGACGUACGGAGGAGGUAAACCCUGUCCGCUGCAAGGAGAUAUAUGAGCACAUAGGCUGUUCGUCUGCUCAUGUAUCACAAAGAUCCGCUUGAUUGUGCUGGCAACGGCAUGACUAGAUAGAUGAUCGUCCACGACAGAACCCGGCUUACAGGCAGACUGUCAAA
rnacentral:RNase_P_RNA from 3 species